rnacentral:sRNA from 1 species
AUCUUCGGGUGUUUCUUGGUUCAUUGUGGCCUGGGUAUCUUGGAUUGCAAUCCCCCACUAAUCCCAGAUAAACUCCUUUGGAGAGCCUAUCUGUCUAUUGUUAUUUUAGGUUUUAGAACAUACACUAAAAAACUUGUUUACAGCACCAUUAUUCAUAGUAAAAAAGUGGAAACAACCCAAAUGUCCCACUGAUGAAUAAUGCAUAAACAAAAUGUAGUUCAUUCAUAUAAUGGAAUACUAUUUCAUCACAUAAAGGAAUGAAGUGCUGAUACACACCAUAACGUGAAUAAACCUCAAAAACACGGUGCUAAGGGAAGAAAGUCAGUUACGCUUUAAGCUGGUAACCUUUACAGCAUAUAAAUUACUUCUUAAUAAAGCGGUCUUUAAAAAAAAGAAACAGCUCAGCAACCACACAUACAUAUGAUAGAAGGGGAAUGAGAGAACCCAGAUGAAAAGGAAAGACAGGAAGAAACACAGUCUGCAAAAGAAAGAUGAAGAGUUCAUCUUAAGGAAAAUAUAAUCCAAGAAACAGAAGAAAAGCCCCUGCGAAAACUUUGUGCUAUAGAACACUUAAGUGUAUUUCUUCAUUCAGCGAAAGUACUGAGCCCCUAUGUGGCAUGCACCCUCCUGAGCCCGGGGAUUUAGCAGUAAGCUAAGUUCUUCCUUUCAUGAAGCAUGUCAUAUUCUUGUGCACAAAAAUAUAAGCACAAGGAGAUGAUUCCACUGAACCCCUCCCAUCAAGCAGGGGACGUUGAUUUGUCCACAGUGGAAUAGACACUUACUUUGAACAUGGAUUUGCCUUCUCUAGCUUUAUUCACUGUUUCACACAAGAUUGCUUCUGAUCAAAGAAUUUAUUUCACAGUAAAAGAAAUGUGCCACCAAAAGUGAGUUCAUGCUGAGAAAGUGGAAAAUGGCCCUGAUAGUAGCCAGGCUGUGAUUUUAAUCACUAAAUAUAAAAAAUGCUCACAGAUUGCAAACAGUAUUCCUUUUUUCUCCCUAGUUUCUUAAGGUAGAUGCUUGGGUCACUAAUUUGAGACAUUUCUCCUUUUCUAAUUUAAGUAUUAUAAGUAAUGCUAUAAAUUUCCCUCUGAACUUUGAGUACAUUUCACAAAUUCUAUUGUGUAUAAUUUAAAAUAUUUUAUAAUUUCACUUUUGAAUUCCUUUUGGUCAAAAGAUUUGUAUUAUUAUUAUUAUUAUUAUUAUUAUUAUUAUUAUUAUUAUUGAGACAGGGUCACCCAAGCUGGAGUGCAGAGGUACGAUCUCAGUUCACUGCAAUCUCCACCUCCCAAGCUCAAGAGAUUCUCCCACCUCAGCCUCCCGAGUAGCUGUGACCACAGGUGUGCACCACCAUGGUGGGCUAAUUUUUAAAUUUUUUCUAGAGGUAGGGUCCCACUAUGUUGCCCAGGCUGGUGUUGAACCCUUGGGCUCAAGUGAUCCUCUUGCCUUGGCCUCCCAAAGUGCUGGGAUUACAGGCAUAAGCCACUGCACCUGGCCCAAAAGAUAAUUUUUAAAUAAAUCAUUUAAAGAUAAUUGUUUAAAUGAGUUAUUGGUCUUAAAAAUGUCCUCAAAUACAUUUUCAAGAUAUAUUUUUGCGCUUAGUUUGUAGUUGGUUUUCACUGUGGUAAGAGAAUAAAAUUUGUAUUAUUUUAGUUGUUUUAAAUUUGUUGAUUUGCUUUAUGGCUCAAAUACGGCCUAUCGUGCUGAAUGUUACAUGUGCACUUGAAAAUAAUGUGUAUUCCACUGGUCCAGGUCAUGUGUUUUAUAAGUGAUGAUUAAGUCAAUUUGCUUGAUAGUAUUUUUCAGGAUUUUUAUAUCUUUGCCAAUAUUCCGUGUUCUUAUUCUGUCAAUUACUGACAGAGAAAUGUUGCAGUCUCCAACUCUAAUGGUGGCUUUCUGUAUUUCUCUUUUCAGUUUUUUGUUUGUUUGUUUGUUUGUUUGAGAUGGAGUCUUGCUCUGUCACCCAGGCUGGAGUGCAGUGCUGCGAUCUCGGCUUACUGCAAUCUCCACCUCCCAGGAUCAAGCAAUUCUCCUGCCUCAGCCUCCCGAGUAGCUGGGAUUACAGGCAUGCACCACCACACCUGGCUAAUUUUUGUAUUUUUAGUAGAGACGGGGUUUUGCCAUGUUAGCCAGGCUGGUCUUGAACUCCUGGCCUCAAGUAAUCCACCUGCUUCAGCCUCCCAAACUGCUGGGAUUACAGGCAUGAGCCCCCAUGCCUGGCCCAGACCGGACAUUUCUAUUGAUAUGUUUUUGAGUUCAUCGAUUUUUCGUUCCUCUAUCAUCUCUUGUCCACUACUGAGGCAGCCCAGUGAGUUUUUAAUUUCAAUUAUUAUAUUUUUGUUACAUAAUUUCCCUUGGUACCUUUUUAUAUCUUCUAUUUAUUUUCUACUUUCUAUUUGUAUUAAGAGUGUUAGUAAUUGCUCGAUGAAGCAUUUUCAUGAUAGUUGCUUUAAAAUUCUUGUCAGAUAAUCCCAAUGCCUGAGUCAUCUCAACGCUGGCACCUGUUGAUCAUCUCAAUCAACAUCUCUUCUCAAUGUUGAUCAUCUCUUCUCAAUGUACUGGUUCUUCGUAUAUGGAUUUUUUAUUGUAUCCUGGACAUUUUGGAUAUUAUGUUGUAAGAACAAAUUGUUUUUUCUUUUAAAUUCUUCUUCUUUUUGGGUAUAGUCUGCAGGCCCAGGUGGGGCUUCAUGUUCAGCUCACUGUUGGACUUCAUUGACAUCACCCUGAAAAAAAGUGGAUUUUUGAGGAGCUUGAGAAGAAGAGCAUGAGAAGUGCUGAAUUACACCGUGUUGUUGCAGAUGAGCGUCACCUAACCACAGCAGUCCUUGAAGAAGAAAGAUGGUCUGAUCGAACUGCUUAUUUAGGAACACAUUGCAAAAUCUGUGGGUGUCCUUUGGGAUCUGAGGACCUCACUCCUACAACUGCAAGGAAUUGAAUUCUUCUAACACUGAGAUGAGGUUGGAAGAAGACUCCAAGAUCCAGAAAGGAACACAGUCCCACCAACACCUGUGUUGUAACCUGGUGAGACCCUGAAACAGAGAAUCCAGCUAAGCCAUGCCCAAAAUAUUCAUCCACAAUGUGUUGUUUUAAGCUUCCAAGUUUCUAGUAAUUUGUUAUAAAGCAAUAGAAAAGUAAUA